GAUAUAAUUGUGAGAGUGAAAAAUCACUUAGUGAGGCAGGCAAGUGAGAAAUAUUUAUUAACAGUAGAUAGCCUUUUUGGCACCCUUGUAUAUGGCUGGCUACUUUACCUAUGAAUAGAAAUGGUUUUCACUACGCUAAACGUCAACUGUAUAUUUGUGUGUGUGUGUGUGUGUGUGUGUGUGUAGAAAGAAGAAAAAGAGAAGCAAGUGACUGGGAAAGGUACACCCAACAUUCUCUGACAAGUAUUUGCUACUGUGGCAGAGAUCUUGAUUUUAUUCUGUCUUCCUGUCACGGCAGCUAGAAAGGAAACUCAAGUUUCAAGUACUAAAGACAUAAGUUGUGCAGGUGAAGUGACUCAGAUCGUCCACAGGCAGUUUACCAGAAACCACACGAGAAUGUACCAUUUGUUCUUGUUGAUCUAAGACCAGAUUUGAACCUAACGUCCUGGGCAGAAACUAAAACACUACCAUUUCCUGCAUCUGACAGUAGUUAGCACUGGCUCUUAAAUUUUGAAAAAAGUCUUCAUAAAGUAACCUCAAUUCAGUCUACUUCUCCCUGGUAGUCAAGAUAGAGGACUGGCCUGUGGAUUGUACCUUUCUAAGUGAGCAAAAGUGCUAACUGUGAAGGACAUGCACAGUGCUGAACAUUUCCCUCUCGCGUUUUCCAGAGCGGUUCCUCAUCCCCGGCGCUGGCUGAAGGUUUACCUCAAAAUUUGAAUCAACUUCUGAAAAAUACUUUAUCCAUUGUCUUCUUACAUCAGAAUCAACUCCCUAAAUUCUUGUGCAUUGGCUUUGUAAACUUGCUUCUGGUCUUUGUUUCUGGCAGAAGAUUAAACCACAAAGCAAAGGUGGCAGAGACCUGCUUCAAGGUUGAUUGAAAACAUUCCAGCACUCUGAAAAAAAAAGGACUAACUCCCUGUUCACUAACCUCUGCUAAGAAAUGGGCCCUACAUCUUUUCAAAACUCACUGGGAACGUCAAGAAGAAUCCAGAGUUCCCUCUGCCUCACAAGCUGAAAUUUGUCUGCUGAGAGGGAUAAGAAAAGAAGCAUGCAGUUUGCACAAAUAAGACCAGAUUUGCCUAAGGAGAAAUGUUCUAGAGAAACAAUGCCAGCUUAUUCCAGCUUAAAUCUAAGUGUAUUUUAGGGAAUUAUAGCUAGGGCAAAAACAACAACAACAACAACAACAACAACAUCAAACACCUGUCAACUUUGUUAUAUAAGAUUAAUUACAUCUGAGCAAUUACCACUGAUAAAAACACCAGGAAGGUAUAACUAACAAAAAAGAUUUAUGUCAUACAGAGAAGGCAUUUAAAAACCAAGGUCCUGCAGGGACUGGAGCCCCUGGGCCACUCAUUUUGACAAACAAUGUAGCAAUCGUGAUACAUGGUAAUGUUUUGAACACAAUUCUUAUCAGGAUUUUCAAGGUCACUUUAUUACUGCACUCUAAGGACACAUGCAUGUAUCAUAUUUUUGACCUCAUUGGAAUUAUGUUAGUCAUUAUUUUUGAAGCCAUCUUUAUUUCCUGCGAAAUAUCUGCCUACAAUCAUAGUGACCUAUAACCUCUGUUCAAAACAAGGCAGCCAUUCUCCCAAGAGCACCCCAGUGUCUUCAGAAAACUAAGCUAAGAGAAGCUGAAAGCCAAGGAGCAGCUUUUAGUGGGCUUUGCUUGACUAAAAUGGGAGCAGUAGAAAGAGAAUGGAAAAAAUACUGGACUUAGGAGUCGGAAGACUUGUUUUCUAGUUUGUCAUCAGCCAGCAUGGGCAAGUUGCUUCACCUCUUUGUGUUUUAAUCAGGGGUAAAACUAGUUAUUCCACUUCCCUUCAAAGGGUUGUUUGAAGGUCAAUGAGAUAAUAGACCUGCAAGAGCUAUGAAGUCUAUGAAUCACGGCAUUUAGCCGACUGUCAGACUGCCCUGAAUAUUACACUACAGAGAUGAUUGAAUGUAAGAGCCAAAGGAUGUCGAAGAGAUGACUACUUAGUUGUUGGGCCUGGUGACUACAAGAAAAGAGAAGUAACUUUGGAGGGAGGGAGGGAAAGGGAAAGAUGAUGUUUUAUGGGAAAGAUGAUGUUUCAUGAUUAAGGUAAGAAUGGGACAAUUGAAUAGAAAUGUCCUGCAGGCAUCAGGCUGGCGAUGAGAAGAACGGUCUGGGUUAGAACUAAACAAUGAAAGUGUCUGGAGAAUUUGUUGAGAGAAAAGCAAGCCACAUGCCUGAACCAGUUAUCUGGGUGGGGUGGGGUGGUAGUGGAGUGGGGGAUGAGAGAGGGCCAAGAGAGAGAAAAGAAAGAAAAAAAUUAUUAACAGAGGUAAAGAAUAACAAUGAUAAUACAGUAGUGCAUUUUCCUCUAAGGGAAGAAAAUUUGAGCAAAGAAAGGAAUUUCAGUUUUGUUAAGGGAUUCAGAGAGAUUCAGGAGAAUCAGAACCAAGGAGGUUAUUAGUUUUGGAGACUGGGAGGCCAUUGGUACCUUUGAAAGCGAGGCUGCAGUGAAGUAGCAGGGAGGAAAGCCCGGAUUCUCGUGCUUGGAAGUGGAAGCAUGGAAGGAGAGAGU